GAACUGCGAUAAGCAAUGCGAAUUGCAGGACCCGCGAGUCAUCAGAUUUUUGAACGUAAUAAACGAUAAGGGGGAAAUCCUCUUAUCAUGUUUGCUUCAGUGUUGACAUUAUCUCUACCUUAAUGUGAUUGAAUGCGUUGCAUUCUUUCAUCAAAAAGGAAUGCUUUGCAUUCGCGUCCAAUGAAGUAGUCACUGCUGCGCAAGCAGAUAAGUGAAUUCAUUGGUAAUUCGAGUGAGAAAGCAUAGAGCAAUGCGUCUUUAAAAAUAAUUAAAACCUGAAGUAAUCAAGACUACCCGCUGAACUUAA
rnacentral:misc_RNA from 1 species